ACGGCACACUGACGCCUCGAUAUGUGAGA
rnacentral:sRNA from 1 species